GACAUACCUGCUUCCUCUUUGCCUUCCACAGAUGAUUGUAAGUUUCCUGAGGCCUCCCCAGCCAUGCUUCCUAUAAAGCCUGCAGAACCAUGAGCCAAUUAAACCUCUUCAUAAAUUACCCAGUCUCAGGUAGUUCUUUAUAGCAAUGCAAGAAUGGACUAAUACACUAUCCCUGCACCGACAGCCUCAAGGCUACCUCAUUCCACCGCUGUUCUCUGCAUUCAAGUCAUGGAGCCUGAUCUUUUCACCAAGAAAAAAUAAAUUUUCCAGAAGGCUUGUGUUUUCACCUGCCUUUCAGCUGAGGGAAAAUUCAUCCCAAAGGAGCCAGCACUUUGCCUGAAUAACUAAUACAACAGGAUAAUGUGAAGCCCAAACAGAACAAACUGGAAGACUGAGAAGUACAGUUCCUAAUGGAAAGAAGAAAGGUCCUCUCCAGACAUUGACUGUUCCAACUGAGAAAUGGGAGCUAACCUAUGAGGAUGGAAAGGCACAAGAACGAUACAAUGGACUUUGAGAAAUUGGGGAAAGGGUGAAAGGGGUGAGAGGGAUAAAAGACUACAAAUUGGAUUCAGUGUAUACUGCCCUGGUGAUGGGUGCACGAAAAUCUCACAAAUCACCACUAAAUAACUUACUCAUGUAACCAAAUACCACCUGUUCCCCCAAAAUCUAUGGAAAUAAAAAGUUUUUUUUUUUUUAAAAAAGAAUGCAUUUCAAUGAGACCCAAAACAUCUGGGGGUGUGUAGCAGAGGAAUUUGUACAGAUCAAAUGUCUCAUGUUCUUCCCUUAAAUUUCCCAGCUUUCCUUGCAGUAAUGUUGAGGUCAUGUGACCAAUUCUGGCUAAUGAGCUGUAAAUGCAAGUAAUAUGCAUCACUUCUGGGCUGGAGUAGUUAAGAGCUGAUGGGGCCUCUCCUUAAGUUCCUCAUCCUGCUUCAAUGUUCUUUGAGGCUACAUGCUCCAGAUGAUGCAGCUGUAAGACACACGAGAGAUGAC
rnacentral:lncRNA from 10 species